rnacentral:rRNA from 1 species
UACGUAGGGUGCAAGCGUUGUCCGGAAUUAUUGGGCGUAAAGAGCUCGUAGGCGGUUUGUUGCGUCGGCUGUGAAAUCCCGAGGCUCAACCUCGGGUCUGCAGUCGAUACGAGCAAACUAGAGUGUUGCAGGGGAGACUGGAAUUCCUGGUGUAGCGGUGAAAUGCGCAGAGAUCAGGAGGAACACCCAUGGCGAAGGCAGCGCUCUGGUCGGCAUCUGACGCUGAGGAGCGAAAGCGUGGGGAGCGAACAGG